CAAACCCCCCCCCCCUCCCCCACAUAAUAUAAACUAGAGAACACUAAAAACAUACAUUUAACACAUACUAAAGAAACAACAGAGAAGGAAGGGACAGACUGUGGGCGAGGCAGCCAUUGCUGACGCCACUGGGU